UACGUAGGGGGCAAGCGUUGUCCGGAAUCAUUGGGCGUAAAGAGCGUGUAGGCGGCUCGAUAAGUCCGCUGUGAAAGUCCAGGGCUCAACCCUGGAAGGCCGGUGGAAACUGUCGGGCGUAGAGUCCGGAAGAGGCGAGUGGAAUUCCCCGGUGUAGCGGUGAAAUGCGCAGAUAUCGGGAGGAACACCAAUGGCGAAGGCAGCUCGCUGGGACGGUACUGACGCUGAGACGCGAAAGCGUGGGGAGCAAACAGG
rnacentral:rRNA from 1 species